CGGCGGACGGGUGAGUAACACGUGGAUAACCUACCUAUAAGACUGGGAUAACUUCGGGAAACCGGAGCUAAUACCGGAUAAUAUAUUGAACCGCAUGGUUCAAUAGUGAAAGACGGUUUUGCUGUCACUUAUAGAUGGAUCCGCGCCGCAUUAGCUAGUUGGUAAGGUAACGGCUUACCAAGGCGACGAUGCGUAGCCGAACUGAGAGGGUGAUCGGCCACACUGGAACUGAGACACGGUCCAG
rnacentral:rRNA from 1 species